rfam:Zea mays cultivar B73 chromosome 8, whole genome shotgun sequence.
UAGUUUUGUCCUAUGUCAAACUUCUCUAGUUUUGAUCAAGCUUUUAGAAAAAUACAUUAGUAUCUAGAAGUUCAAUCAAAUUCACUAUCAAGACAUAUUUCAUGAAGAAAUUAAUGAAAAGAAUUUGGUAUUCUAGAUGUUGAUGCAUUUUUCUAUAAACUCGGUCAAAGUUAAACAAGCUUGACUUAGGACAAAGGCAC